UCAAUCCUAUUUCUUCAGUCAGUUUGUCUUCAACCUGCUUAUCCCGUGUUUACGCUACUUGUACUCUGUGCUUGUUUUCAUUUCAUCAUGAUGACUGUGCUACUGCUCUGUUAUGCUUGCAUCUGAGUACUUAUUCCGCUGCUAGUCGUUCGUGACUUAGGAAUUUCCUCACCUUGAAAUUCCUCAGCGACGAAUUUGUAAAAUCGCCUAUUCACCCCCCUCUAGUCGAUAUAACGCACUAUCAGCAACACUUCAUGGAUUUAUAUGUUGUGUAUUUGGACCAAGAACUACAACUUAUAACAUUCAUUACAUCUCCUAUUUCUUAUGUAAACUAACUACUGGAUGAACUUGCAGGUUCACAAUGGAAGACUCUGCAAUUUACGGGAGCAAUGUUGCAAGGGAACGUCAGUACAAGCAUAGAGUGGAAUUCCUUCUACCUGAAGACUUGAAGAAGGCAGGCAUGAAUUUCAUGGCAUUGCAGAACUGGUGCCUCAAGUGCACUUUGAGCAUCAAUUUGGAAAAAGUCAAGGUUCCUUCCUUGUAUUUUACAAAAAAUGUUCUUACUCUUCAAUUUCAAACCUCUUGAAGCAAGUCUUAUGAGAUGCUUUGUCAUGUAAGUAUAGUCCUCAUCAUUUUUUGUCGAAAUGCCUCUAAAUGAUAUAAAUGAUGAUUCCUUUGUUCCCUCAUGCUAAUGGUGACUCCGGCAAGAGUAAAGACAUAGAAGGUUGGUUUCUUAGACCCAUUAAUGACCUCGAGAGAAUUAAUUUACAUCCAGGGGAACGUUGCCUUCGAACAUGUCAUCAUUACCAACAAUUUGCAGAUUUCUUGCUACUUCCAUCCGUCGAACAUUGUCACUAGAUCUUGAUUGUGAUUAUACCGAAGCUUAGCAGAGCAGACUACUCCCUCCAUCCAUAUAUAUAGGGCCUAAUCCAUUUUUCGAGAUUGUCUUUGACUAUCAACAAGAUUAACAAUAUAUGAGAUGUAUAAUGUCAAAACUAUAUCAUUGGAGGCUCCUCUCACGUACGAAUUUGAGGGUAUGCUUCGUGUAACAUGCAUGCCAUAUAUUAUUGCUCUAACAUGUGGUCAAAAUUAGCCUUGAAAAACGCAUUAGGCCCUAUAUAAAUGGAUAGAGGGAGUACCUUGAUUCUCACAAGAACUUUCUAAAUCCUAUGGAUUUGACAUUCAGUAAAGAAUUCUUAGGAAGGUAUUGGCGAUUUUGUUCCAUAACCCGUACCCUCCCAUUUUAUAAUUGAUUACACAACUGUCCAUCUUGUUUUAUAGAGCAUUUGUCGAGUACAACCAGCGUUUAGGAGCUAGCUUGUGGGCCAUCUAUAAUAAGAAAGAGUUACAACACAUAGCCGAUAUUAAGUAUCCCCAGGGGCCAGCUGAGAGCAGCCUUUCUGGCUACUAUAUUUGCAAACACAUGGCUAGACUCUACAGUGCGAAGGCUACAGACAACUUAAUCUCGGUACUUGACUACUUAAAUCAUGCACGACAAAUCUUAACAUAACAACACAGAUCCUAACAUCGAUGGACGAGCAACUGAUGCCUGGUGAUGACAUGAGGGAGAUAAGGACAAAGAUUGCUUCAUUCCACAACAAAUAUGACAUCCAUCGGAAGAAAGGAUAUAGGAUAUCAAACUCUUCCUAGUUAAUUAUGUGGUUCAAUGUCUGCGAUACUGCCUUUGCUAUAUGUGUUGUCCUUCGUACAUGGCAAUGUACGAUCAAAUUUGACUCUAUGUUAAUGUGGCUGUAAAAACAACCA